UUGACCUCGAAUCAGGUAGGAAUACCCGCUGAACUUAAGCAUAUCAAUAAGCGGAGGAAAAGAAACCAACAGGGAUUGCCCCAGUAACGGCGAGUGAAGCGGCAACAGCUCAAAUUUGAAAUCUGGCUCUCGGGCCCGAGUUGUAAUUUGUAGAGGAUGCUUUUGGUGAGGUGCCUUCCGAGUUCCCUGGAACGGGACGCCAUAGAGGGUGAGAGCCCCGUCUGGUUGGACACCGAUCCUCUGUAAAGCUCCUUCGACGAGUCGAGUAGUUUGGGAAUGCUGCUCUAAAUGGGAGGUAUAUGUCUUCUAAAGCUAAAU
rnacentral:rRNA from 1 species